GCCUUCAUUGUGUAACGGUAGCACACUUGGCAUGCACUCAAGAGGUCUGGGUUCAAGUCUCAGCAAGGGUA
rnacentral:tRNA from 1 species